AUUUAGCAAUGGUAAACCUUUUUUUUUUUAAAUUCGAAAUGUACUGUCUCUUAGAUUUUUCUAUAAAUAGGGCAUUGCCUUCCUGAGCUAAUUCACUGCUGCCCAUGAUUUACCUACAAUGGCAAAAUAGAUGGCCAUUAGCAGUAAGUGACUCAAGUAUUAGGAGAGAGCUCCAUCCGAAAGAACCAUCUAUAUCGGCUCAUGCAGUAGGAUGUUGAAGCAAUAUUUUCAGAGAACUGGCAGACUUUUGUACUGCAGAACAAGCCUUGCACAGCCCACCCACACCGCCAGCCCAGCCUGGCACUUUGUUCGCCUUUGUGCUGGUGCUUUUUUCAGCUGCGAUGUCCCAGCUGAGAGCAGCCAGGGAGGCAAGUCGUCUUUCCUUUGCUCCUUUCCCUGUGGAGAAGCCCAGCGGCUGCAGGUCUCCCAGAAGCAAACAGAACAGCCACGCGUUGGCCGUAAAGACCUGUAGGGUUUCAGCCGGAAGCUCACAACAGCCUGUCUUUGCUGCACUCCCCACAACCUGUGAUCAGGUUCCUUCCAGGUAUCAAUGUCGUUCUGUGUGAAGACCCAUCUGAACAUCUCAACCCAGGGGAAAUUAAGAGCGUUCCCCACCUGGCACAACUGGACAUCACUAACUCCAGCAACUGAGUUGCCACUCUUUUUUUCAGUAUUAGCGAAGGUGAUGAGAUGCUGACUUCAUUAAAAGGGAGGUAUAUGGAGGCCAAGGUUAUAGUUUUUGUCCAUUUCCUUCUAAAUAUGUACCGGGGUGGUGGCAGAGAAGAGCAGUGCCAUCACAGUCUUUUACCAAGACAGAGAAAGAAUAUGGCCACAGGAUGUAGAUAAGGCACUUGUGUGCUCAUGUUUCGGACCCAUGCAUGUCCUACUCUUUUCGGUUGAUGUUGAGACUACUAAAUACAGAGAAACCAGCAUUUAAAUGCUGCCCAUCCAUAUGGACCUUGGCAAGCCAGAAAUGAUCACGUCCCUGUAUAUGUCUACAUCUCUGUAAAGCAGAGGACACAGACAGACCUUGCUCGCCCUUCUCCCACCUCUCAGGUUUCUGGGGAGGACCUGGAUCUAGCCUACCUUGAAUAAGAGGUUGCAUCUGUGAGUGAGAUGGCUAUGACUUUUUUGGUUCCACCUAUAAUGGGAAUUUGCCCUGGCUCCACCAAUGAGUGACUAAUCUCCUGGACAGAUUCAAGGUGCUGCUGGUGGGCCAGAAGUUUGGAGGAGUCUUGGACAAAUUCCCAAAGUGCCUCUGAGAGAGAAAAUGGGGCACAAGUGCGGGCUGCUGCUUUGAGAGGGAUGAGUACUGAGAACUCCUACAAAAAGAAGCCAACUGUCGUCUCAGAGAUGGCAUCCGGAUCUUUUAUUUAGAAACAGACGAUGACCUCUGUCCGGUACGUUUUUCCCAGACUGCUGCUUCAAAAAUAGAACCUCUUGCUCACUUUGCCCUUUGGAUUUUUCCUAUUCCCUCCCUGCUUACACCAAAAGAGAUGACAACAGCUCCGUGGUCCCGACCCUAGUGCUGGACACCAGCCCUAACCAGCACCGAGCACCUUCUCGCACCCAAACCCAGCUGAGCAGGGGCCCACCACUGUGCAGUGCUGCCUGCCGGUGCCGUGGGCUGCUCAGGCACUGCUGGGGAUGCAGUGCAGGCUGGUGGCUGCUGCGGCAGCACAGCUGCACCCAGGCACAGCCCGCGGUUCCCUCCGCACGUGUCCUGAUGGUGCAUGUACGGAUAUGGGAAAGGACGCGAGUGUUGAUGAUAACCCCAAGCCCACGUCGUGCGGAUGCGGUAGCUGAUAACAGCGUGAGUCCAUUCCUCGGGUCUAAGCGAUGCUGAGCGAUUUCUCUGCUCCAGGUUUACAGUGCAAAACCAUGUGCUCACCAAUUUAGCUCAUUAAUGCUUGAGAGUAAAUUUCGGGUUAUCUGUAAUACUCUGAACCAGACAUGCAAGUUUAGCAUCUGUUUUUGACUGGUAAUUGUAACAUGUAGAGAGCAUCUACGGCCUGUUUUCAGAGGUGACCUCAUGUGCCUAAAUCCUAAUGAGUUAUUUUUAAGCUAAAACGUCCUAGUUUCAGCUGCAGCUUCACCUACGGGAUCUUAUCUGUUCCUAUACAGAUUAGCCAUUUAUCAUUAAAAAAUAAAAAUAAAUCAUGUUGUACAUUACACAAAAAAGGGGGGGGGGGGGGGGGGGGGCGAGAGGGUUGGGCAAAAAGGACAAUCGGAGCUCUGUGUUUGCCAAGGCCAUGGAACUAUUAUAAGACAUAAGUGAGUGAUCAUUAAAAAUAACCUUUCUUCUGCUGGGAGGUAUUGCUGUUAGGCAUAUAAUGAAAUGUAACAACACUCUGUCUCCUGGUCCAUUACAGAGUCUUUGGUGGUGCUACAUCAGCAAUUGCUCUGUUUCCGCUCUUUAACAAGGCCUUGACAUGCUGCUGUUAACUUGGUUUUAUUCCUCUUUU